CCUACGGGAGACAGCAGUGAGGAAUAUUGGUCAAUGGGCGAGAGCCUGAACCAGCCAAGUCGCGUGAGGGAGUACUGCCCUAUGGGUUGUAAACCUCUUUUGUCGGGGAGCAAAAGCCGGACGUGUCCGGCUGUGAGAGUACCCGAAGAAAAAGCAUCGGCUAACUCCGUGCCAGCAGCCGCGGUACUACGGGGGAUGCGAGCGUUAUCCGGAUUUAUGGGGUUUAAAGGGUGCGCUGGCGGAUUUUUAAGUCAGCGGUAAAAUCGUGGGGCUCAACCCCAUCCAGCCGGUGAAACUGGGGAUCUAGAGUGUGGGAGAGGUAUGCGGAAUGCGUGGUGUAGCGGUGAAAUGCAUAGAUAUCACGCAGAACACCGAUUGCGAAGGCAGCAUACCGGUGCACAACUGACGCUCAGGCACGAAAGCGUGGGUAUCGAACAGGAUUAGAUACCCCAGUAGU
rnacentral:rRNA from 1 species